rnacentral:misc_RNA from 1 species
CCAAUAGCGUAUAUUAAAGUUGUUGCAGUUAAAAAGCUCGUAGUUGAAUUUCGGGAUUGGCUCAUCGGUCGUGCCUCACGGGGUAUGAACUGGUGCAGUCACUUUCUCCCCUUCUGGAGAACCGCGAUGUCCUUAAUUGGAUGCCGCGGGGAACCAGGACCUUUACUUUGAAAAAAUUAGAGUGUUUAAAGCAGGCAUUUUUGCUUGAAUACAUUAGCAUGGAAUAAUAAAAUAGGACGGCAUGGUUCUAUUUUGUUGGUUUCUAGGACCACCGUAAUGAUUAAUAGGGAUAGUUGGGGGCAUUAGUAUUCAAUUGUCAGAGGUGAAAUUCUUGGAUUUAUUGAAGACUAACUACUGCGAAAGCAGUUGCCAAGGAUGGUUUCAUUAAUCAAGAACGAAAGUUAGGGGAUCGAAGACGAUCAGAUACCGUCGUAGUCUUAACCAUAAACUAUGCCGACUAGGAAUCAGACGAUGUUAAUUUUUUAAUGACUCGUUUGGCACCUUACG